UAUAUGUCUACUGGGCUAUAAGAUAUUCCUGGAGCGUGGAAGCCAGAAACAGCAGCAGGACUUUGCCGGAUUGCUCACUCACUCUUAAUGAGCCGAUGAGUCUCUAAUUAACAGGUAAAAUGGCGGUCAGGAUCUUCACACGCUUCCUAACAGAAGGUCUACCUUUAGAAACACUGAUGAUCAUUCAUGCUCUUCCUUUAUAACUAACGGUCUGGUUUAACAACACUGUAAACUAACUGCAUUGUUCAACAUAAUAACGCUCCAAAUCUUCAUUAUUCCCCAAUAUCUAUAUAAAUACACUGACCUACCAUAGAGCGCUACAUUCUCUUGUCGCCAUUUUACACAGCAGCGCCUCUUCUCCUCCUCCUCCUCCUCCUCUCCUGCAGGUUUUUCCUGCACUCACGUGACUGAAAUACUGUGCACCGAUCGGCUAGGUAUCACCCCAGACUCAAUUACCUGGAUGCUAAACUAGUAAAAAAUUGCAAACUGAAUUCCAUGAAUUGUUGUUGUUUUUGUGCGUGAUAUCUAAAACCGAAUCUAAAUUUUCGAACGCUGAAAAUAUUUGAAUAUAGAUGCGUGAUUAGUUUUUUUUAAAUUCCCCCCAAAAAAACAAAAAAAAUUGUUUAUUACCGAAUAAUAUAUAUCGGUGAUAUGAAAUGUAAAGCUUUGUAAAAUUCCAAUCUUGUGCUUUUCAGGUUUUUACACUUUGCGAUUUCUCUUUACCAUGACAAGCAGCGAUUUAUUUACAAUUUAUUAUCUUCGAGAGAGAGAGAGAGAGGGGAAAAGAGAAGCUGCAGAGGGAAGGACUGUUUAUAGCUGCUGUAACUUAAACGGACGCUCCACAACAUUAAAUGUAACUAUAAACAUAUAUAUCGUGUGUCGUCCUUUUAAAUUUUUUUAAUGGUAAUCGUUGGUAAUUUGCUGCGAUGUUCACAAGAAUAAAUACGCUGCUCUCAUAGAGAUCAAACAACUGCAAACAUUUUGAAACUUUCUUAAAUAUAGGUGUGCAACAAUUAUUUCAAUUAUUCAAGUUGUCAAUACUAUGUGCUGCCUCCCUCUGCCAAGAUAACAGCGCCGAGUCUUCUCCUAUGACGCCUGAUGAGAUCGGAGAAUACGCGGCGAGGGAUCUGAGAGCGUUCCUCCGUACAGAACCUCUCCAGACCCUUCACACUGCGAGGUAUUUACCGAGGGUGGCAAUAUUAACGGAGGGCACUCUAUAUAUAUUCAUCUCUUAAACAAAACACAGGUCUCGGCUGAAAACAUUUGCAAGUGUGGACACCGAUUAACGUUCGACAUUCCAGACGUUCCAGAAAAAUAACAGGAAUAAGAAUAGAAAACAUGCUGACAAGAUGUGCCGUUAGAGGAAAAUGAUCAAUGACGGGGAGGCGUGAUGCGUGAACGCUAAUCAGACUUCCUGUAAACGCCGUGAAGCCGAUUAGUUUCCUAUAAUAUCACAUCCAGAGUGUGUGUAUAUAACAUUUUCUAACGAAUCACAUCGUACCUUUGAUAUAUUUACAGUUACAUUUACAUGCCGAAUCUGCAUUUGCAGCUGCGCUACCGUCAGAGCUGCUGUUACAGGAAAUGAGUCAACGCCUUCUGACCAAUCCACAAAACACAAAAGCGCUGUAUAACUACGCAGUAAAACGUGUCGUUUCAACAGAAACCUGACGCGGGAGACAACUUUAUAUUACGCACAGAGGGACUGGUGUUGUGAAGUUUUGCCAUCCAGCGACAGAAAUAAUCUCAUGUAGAAACAAACACAACAGAGGGUUCGGUGUCUAGGAUCUAGAAUUUUGCGGCAAAACGUUAAGCGUAUCACUCGAUGCUCCACUUUUACAAAAGAAUUCAUUAAAACAGCGAUGCGUGUGUUGAGCACGUUACGCGUCCUCAUUUUUGUGUUUGAUGAAGCAUGAAGUAAGCUGUCAGAAACAUCCUGGGACAAGGCCACAGCCGGAGUGAUCGUGUAACCUGGGGACAGUGGAACGAUGCAGAUUUGGUGAGAAACCCCUCAGAAAUGAGUGUUUUGCUGAGUCUGGAUAAAGUCUGUGUGCCCUGAUUUGGAUAUUAAACAGUACUCACACAAAGGCCAUGAGGACGAGUCCUGUUUGUUCCUUCCUGCAGAACAACAGUGACAUGUUUUUGCAGCUGUAAAAGUGAGACUGAUGCUUUAGAAGAAGUUGAGGAUGGAUGCACUUACUUGUCAGAACGAGCUGAAGGCGUGAGAUGAGCAGAAAACUCAACCCUGACCAGUCUUCUCCUGGUGAGAUUCGUUUUCUGGCCACAGCGUUUGGCCCCGCCUCCCGGAAGA
ensembl:lncRNA